rnacentral:lncRNA from 12 species
AUGUGUGUCAUGUUUGUUUGCAGUGAACCCAAGACAGUAUUUUCAGCCCCAUAUACUGAGAUGCUGACGCGGAGGUCAAAAGUCGAUCCGUUUACUGAGCGUCCCUUGGGAGAGAUCUGGAAAGUUCCGGAGGCAGAACUCGACCAGAGAAUGUCUAACGCUUCUGUCAAAUGUUUCUUCUCAUAUCGUGGAUGCAGGAAGCAGACAAGAUAUGCAGAGAUUGGAGCACAUGACAAAAGAGUGCCAUUACACACCAUCAUCAGAUCUAGAUUCUGUGGCGAGUCUGAAUGUGUCUGAAUUUGUUUCUCUUCAAUGAUGUUUGUAGAUUGCUCAGUAAACAGUUCUACUCUUUGUCUACUCUGCUCUUUGUUGUUUAUGAAAUCAAUUGUAUCACUGCAGAAAAUUACAGAAACAAACUGGUACAGAAAAUAUUUUGCAUCCUCAAAUACUUUGGAAAUAAUGACUGAUCACACACUUGAGGUAUGGACAGUACACUGUGUUCUGGAUGUGUGCGGUAAUACAGAAUAUAUAAAACCACACCUGGUUCUUCCUGUUCAAACAGAUUCGAAACCGGGAGAAAAGACUGCAGGCAGCAUUUGGAGAACAUGACGUAGAUAGUCUGAUUGCCCAUGCAGAGGAACACUUCGAACUACAAGAAAAGGCUUCCUAAUCCAGGCAGACCUGUCAGAACCACUGAGUGCACUAAAAUCCAAUCACAAUUGUGGGUGCAAAACACUGAAACCACAUUUGGCAGUCAGAAAUGCACAUGACCACUUAAUAAUGAUUGAAAGAGCGCCUAAUCACCUCACACAUAAUUGUGGGACUUACUGAGGAAAAGAGUGAAACACAGGUGAUUUCAUCUUGCCAUGGAGGGUUAGUGUUUGAAUUAACUCAGUGUGAAAUGGUUUAUCACUUCUCAGAAAAAAUACAAGGAAAAUCAGAAGCAGUUUACCAAAACUUCAAUUAAACUAAAAUAAAUAACAAAUAAAUAAACAUUUACCAUAAAUGUGGGUUGAACAUUGAUUUUAAUAGCCGUCUAACACAUUCUCUAGCAAACAUGUAAAUAUGUAUUAUGUGUUGUUGUUUCUUCAGGUGACGUUAUGCAGCAUGAUGCAGGACAGUCACCACUGGAUCAUCUGGAGCAGGCCGCCAGUUAAACCCCACAAUGCUAAACUGCAUUUUCUUCUUGGGCAGACACUAGAGGAGCACUACUACGCAACAGAGAUGCAUGGCCUGAAAAAGGAGGUAAGAAAUUGAGAUAGUCAAUGUCAAACUAGCAACAGAAAGUCUUCCAGUUUUGUGGACAUUCACACAAAGACCAGUCACUAGUCAGCUGCACACCCAGAUUUGUUGGACUUUAGAGUUCGGUUCGUUUGGAUAAUGUGAACGCUGUUUUCUGAACUCGGAUGAACACCCUCGGAAGGGUGGUCUGAGGUGUUCGGUACAAACCGAACCAUUUGUAUUAUCACUCAGUGGGUUAUUUAAUCAUGCAGUACUAUGUUUUUGGAAGGCAUUGUCUUUCAAACAUAUUAAAAUGCACAAAUUUAUGUUAUUUCUUAAUGACAUGUAAUGCAGAGUUUAUAAACAUAUUUGCAUGUUGCACCUGACAUGCAGAAAAAAAGUGUUUUAUUUUGAUUAAUGUUAUUUUAAAAUGGUUUGUUUGAAAUGUCAGUUUUUAUCAUUUAAUUAAUAGCUUUUCAUCAAAAUCACAAACACCAGUUUGUAAAAAAAGUAAAUAUAUAGGCUUUUUUUUCCCUUUUCUUUUUGUUUAUUUGUAUAUUACACCAGGAGAUGGCAACUCUUUCAGCAUGACGUGCUUUUUUUCCUGGUUAACCACUGUGCCAACAGUGUAUGCAUGAAUGCUUUGUAUAGUACAUGCACAUUUUUAAAUGAUACGAGAAAAAAAAACUAACAUUUCUAUCAAAAACAUAUCAUUAAAAGUUGACUAAUAAUUGAUUGGCCAUCUCUGUCAUCUUUAAUAGUAGGCUAUUUAUAGCUCCUAACAGGCUGUGUGACUAUGAGAAGUUAUUACCUCAAAAUGUAGGCUAUCCCUCUGCAUGCCACUGUGUUACACUAUUAUCCUAUUUAAAUCAAUGUAAAAAAAAUCUGCUGAACCAUUAGAAAAAGUAUUGCUGUGUAUCAGAAUAUUAUUCUAUGUUGGAACAAUAUAACCCCAAAAUAUCAUGGGAAUACUAUUGAACACAUUUGAAACAGUUUUCACACUGCUUGAAAAUUUCAGAAAUAAUGAAGAAAUGGCAAGUAGCACAUGACAGUUUAAAGUAGAAAGACUAAAACAAAACAUGGUAGCACUGUGACUCUUGUGGGGCGUUAUUAAUGAAUUAGUGUAUUUUACUUUGGUAGAGGCAGAUUUUAGUUCUUAUUUGAGUGUUGGCGCCAUCUGCUGACUUCACCUUUAUAAUAGCUGCUGUUUCUCCCGCAAUUAACAUGAGUUCAGAGCAAGUGUCAUUCACAGCAGUCUGCAUGCUCCUGUCUGCUGUCUGAGGAUGAACUCUCACAGCACAACUGUCAAAAUUUACAGAACCUAAAUCACAGAAACAUAAUGGCUUCAACUCAAGGGUGGGAAUGGGCAAAAUUCAUUGGAGGUACUAGCUUGGAAGAAUCACGGUGAUCUUAGAUGAACUUUCAGAUGUAUUUAAUUAGCCUAUAAAACACUUUAGAAUCUACAAUAACAUCGAACUUAUGAACUUAUCUUCCCUAAACAGGCACCCUGCAAUUCCGGCCAAAUUAAAGACAGCUAGGCCUACAUUGUGUGUGAAUCUGCACAUUUUAUAAUGUGAGCAUUUGGUUUAUUAUUAAUAAUAAUAAUAAUAAUAAUAAUAAUANNNNNNNNNNNNNNNNNNNNNNNNNNNNNNNNNNNNNNNNNNNNNNNNNNNNNNNNNNNNNNNNNNNNNNNNNNNNNNNNNNNNNNNNNNNNNNNNNNNNNNNNNNNNNNNNNNNNNNNNNNNNNNNNNNNNNNNNNNNNNNNNNNNNNNNNUGGUAACAGCCCAAAUGUCUUAUUAUUCUAAAUAACUGAUUCCUUUAAUUAAAAACAACUAGUUUGAGAUUAAUAGGCCUAUCCCAGGGGUGUCAAACUCAGUUCCUGCAGAGUUUAGUUCUAACCCUGCACCAGCACACAUAUCAUGUAGUUUUCCAAUAAGCCCAAAUGAUUAAAUUAGCUGGAUCAGGUGUGUUUAAUUAAGGUUAUAUCUAAACUGUGCAGGACUGUGGCCCUCCAGGAACUGAGUUCGACACUCUUGGCCUGUCCCAUUUUUGCCUCCCUCCCACUGUUAAAAUGUAACUAAGUAAUUUUUACUCUGAGUAAAUUUUAAAUGAGCUACUUUUUACUUUUACUUGAGUAGAUUUUUAGACUGGUACUUUUACUUGUACUUAAGUAAAAUUUAAUUAAUAUAAUGGUACUUUUACUUGAGUAGAAUAUUUUUGUACUCUUUCCACCUCUGUGCUACACUUAUGUGCAGAAAUGGGAUCCCUUUCGUAGGCUAUUAAAUAGAUAAAAUAUUUAUAGCACUUUCAUUUCCAAAAAAACCUAAGCAGUUGGAAGUUGGA